rnacentral:lncRNA from 10 species
UGGGCUCAGAGGCCUGACAGUAUGCAGCAUGAAGAAGUCAACCGUCCCUGGAGUUCACCGUUCAAAUCUUGGGCGUUCAUUUAAGAGGACCAAUGGCAAAGUAGAGAUGACUCCGUGGAGCACAUUCCCUGGAAACUGCACUGUAGGAAAUACUUGGAGGAAAGUUCAUCUCUUAGCCUGGGACAUCUACUAGUUUCCCAGGGCUGCCAUAAUAAAGUUCCGCAGUCUUAGGGACUUUAAGUAAUAAAAGUUUUUCUCACAGCUCUGGAGAAAAAGUUACAGAAGAUUCCUAUUUGAAUAAAGCAGACUUUUCUAACAAUAA